rnacentral:rRNA from 1 species
GAUGAACGCUGGCGGCGUGCCUAAUAUAUGCAAGUCGAACGCACAGCGAAAGGUGCUUGCACCUUUCAAGUGAGUGGCGAACGGGUGAGUAACACGUGGACAACCUGCCUCAAGGCUGGGGAUAACAUUUGGAAACAGAUGCUAAUACCGAAUAAAACUUAGUGUCGCAUGACACAAAGUUAAAAGGCGCUUUGGCGUCACCUAGAGAUGGAUCCGCGGUGCAUUAGUUAGUUGGUGGGGUAAAGGCCUACCAAGACAAUGAUGCAUAGCCGAGUUGAGAGACUGAUCGGCCACAGUGGGACUGAGACACGGCCCAAACUCCUACGGGAGGCUGCAGUAGGGAAUCUUCCACAAUGGGCGAAAGCCUGAUGGAGCAACGCCGCGUGUGUGAUGAAGGCUUUCGGGUCGUAAAGCACUGUUGUAUGGGAAGAACAGCUAGAAUAGGGAAUGAUUUUAGUUUGACGGUACCAUACCAGAAAGGGACGGCUAAAUACGUGCCAGCAGCCGCCGUAA